UGGGAGAUCGUUCAAUGGUAGGACAAUCGGCUCUGGACCGAUGAAUCGGGGUUCGACUCCCUGUCUCCCAGCCA
rnacentral:tRNA from 2 species